rnacentral:rRNA from 1 species
UACGUAGGGGGCAAGCGUUGUCCGGAUUUAUUGGGCGUAAAGAGCGUGUAGGCGGUUUGGUAGGUCCGCUGUGAAAACUCGAGGCUCAACCUCGAGACGCCGGUGGAAACCAUCAGACUAGAGUCCGGAAGAGGAGAGUGGAAUUCCUGGUGUAGCGGUGAAAUGCGCAGAUAUCGGGAGGAACACCUGUGGCGAAAGCGGCUCACUGGACCAUAACUGACGCUGAUGCACGAAAGCUGGGGGAGCAAACAGG